GACGAACGCUGGCGGCGUGCUUAACACAUGCAAGUCGAGCGGAAAGGCCACUUCGGUGGUACUCGAGCGGCGAACGGGUGAGUAACACGUGAGUAAUCUGCCCCUGGCUUUGGGAUAGCCUCCGGAAACGGCGAUUAAUACCGGAUACGACCACUUCUCGCAUGGGAUGGUGGUGGAAAGUUUUUUCGGCCAGGGAUGUGCUCGCGGCCUAUCAGCUUGAUGGUGAGGUAAUGGCUCACCAUGGCUUCGACGGGUAGCCGGCCUGAGAGGGUGACCGGUCACAGUGGGACUGAGACACGGCCCAGACUCCUACGGGAGGCAGCAGUGGGGAAUAUUGGACAAUGGGCGGAAGCCUGAUCCAGCAACGCCGCGUGAGGGAUGACGGCCUUCGGGUUGUAAACCUCUUUCAGCAGGGACGAAGCGCAAGUGACGGUACCUGCAGAAGAAGCACCGGCCAACUACGUGCCAGCAGCCGCCGUAA
rnacentral:rRNA from 1 species